rnacentral:rRNA from 1 species
AGAGUUUGAUCAUGGCUCAGGACGAACGCUGGCGGCGUGCUUAAUACAUGCAAGUCAUAGGGGCUAAUUUCCUUCGGGAGAUUGGUCACUGGCGCACGGGUGCGUAACGCGUAAGUUAUCUGCCCUUGGGUCUGGCAUAACGUCGGGAAACCGGCGCUAAUUCCAGAUGAUAUCGCAAGAUCAAAGCCUUCGGGCGCCCAAGGAUGAGCUUGCGUCUGAUUAGCUUGUUGGCGGGGUAAUGGCCCACCAAGGCGACGAUCAGUAGCCGGUCUGAGAGGAUGAUCGGCCACAUUGGGACUGAGACACGGCCCAGACUCCUACGGGAGGCAGCAGUAAGGAAUAUUGCGCAAUGGACGAAAGUCUGACGCAGCAACGCCGCGUGCAGGAUGAAGGCCCUUUGGGUUGUAAACUGCUGUAGAAAGGGAAUAAUAGUUUGCCACGGGUGAACUUGAAGGUACCUUUAAAGUAAGCGCCGGCUAACUACGUGCCAGCAGCCGCGGUAAUACGUAGGGCGCAAGCGUUGUCCGGAUUCACUGGGUGUAAAGGGUGCGCAGGCGGAUUGGCAAGUCAGAAGUGAAAUCUUACGGCUCAACCGUGAAACUGCUUUUGAUACUGCUUAUCUUGAGUUCGGGAGAGGUUGAUGGAAUUCCAGGUGUAGCGGUGAAAUGCGUAGAUAUCUGGAAGAACACCAGUGGCGAAGGCGGUCAACUGGCCCGCAACUGACGCUCAUGCACGAAAGCGUGGGGAUCAAACAGGAUUAGAUACCCUGGUAGUCCACGCCCUAAACGAUGUACGCUUGGUGUUGGCUCUUUAGAGUCAGUGCCGUAGGUAACCUGUUAAGCAUACCACCUGGGGAGUACGCUCGCAAGGGUGAAACUCAAAGGAAUUGACGG